rnacentral:rRNA from 1 species
CUGGGAACGUCUGGGGAGACUGCCGGUGAUAAACCGGAGGAAGGCGGGGAUGACGUCAAGUCCUCAUGGCCCUUACAUCCCGGGCUACACACGUGCUACAAUGGCAGGUACAGAGGGCUGCGAAGCCGCGAGGUAGAGCGAAUCCCAGAAAACCUGUCUCAGUCCGGAUUGAAGUCUGCAACUCGACUUCAUGAAGGCGGAAUCGCUAGUAACCGCGAAUCAGCAGGUCGCAGUGAAUACGUUCCCGGGCCUU